rnacentral:rRNA from 1 species
UAGUUUGAUCCUGGCUCAGGACGAACGCUGACGGUGUGCUUUAGACAUGCAAGUCGAACGAGAAAGCCCUUCGGGGUUAGUAAAGUGGCGAACGGGUGAGUAACACGUGGGCAAUCUGCCCUUCGUUGGGGGACAACCGGGGGAAACCCCGGCUAAUACCCCGUAAGCUUGCUGGAUCACCUGAUCCGGCAAGGAGAGGUAGCUUCGGCCAUCCGGCGAAGGAGGAGCCCGCGGUACAUUAGCUAGUUGGUGAGGUAACGGCUCACCAAGGCUACGAUGUAUAGCUGGUCUGAGAGGAUGAUCAGCCACACUGGGACUGAGACACGGCCCAGACUCCUACGGGAGGCAGCAGUCGGGAAUCUUGCACAAUGGGCGAAAGCCUGAUGCAGCAACACCGUGUGAGCGAUGAAGGCCCUAGGGUCGUAAAGCUCUGUUUGCGAGGACGAAGGGUGAAGGGUUAAUAGCCCUUAGCCUGACGGUACUUGUACAGAAAGCCCCGGCUAACUACGUGCCAGCAGCCGCGGUAAUACGUAGGGGGCGAGCGUUGUCCGGAAUUAUUGGGCGUAAAGAGCGUGUAGGCGGCUUGGUAAGUCUGCUGUGAAACCUUGGGGCUCAACCCCAAGCGUGCAGUGGAUACUGUCAAGCUAGAGGAUGGUAGGGGCCAGUGGAAUUCCCAGUGUAGCGGUGAAAUGCGCAGAUAUUGGGAGGAACACAGUAGCGAAGGCGGCUGGCUGGGCCAUUCCUGACGCUGAGACGCGAAAGCUAGGGGAGCGA